GGUUUGAUUAUGGCUCAGAUUAACGUUGUGACGCUUUCAUACAUGCAAGUCGAACGGGUAAAAAUGGACCGGUCCGGUGGCGAGCGGCAACGGGUGAGCAAAAUGUAUCGGAACGUGCCUAGUAGCGGGGAUAACUAUUGCGAAAGCGUAGCUAAUACCGCAUAAUAGCCCUCUGGGAAAGCGGGGGACCUUCUUGGGCCUUCGCACCAUAGCAAAUGACACGAUUAGCUAGUUGUGGGGCAUGGCUCACCAUAUGAUGAUCCGUAGCUGGUUUGAGGACGUGACCAGCCACAUCAGAUCUGAGACACGGCCCAGACUCCUACGGAGGCAGGGGAAUUCUUGGAUUACCGGGGGGAAACCCCUGAUCCAGCCACCUUGCGUGGUAAGGAUGAAGGCCCUUCAAGAAAGCACUUUUGCAGGAGAACGCGGCACGGACAGCCACUCCUGCAACCGACGGUACUGCAGGAAUACACCGCUAACGGCCGCCAGCAGCCGCGGUAAUACGUAGGGGUGCAAGCGUUAAUCGGAAUUACUGGGCGUAAAGCGUAUAUGCAGGUUCAAAAGAAAGAUGUGAAAUCCCAGAGCUUAACUUUGGAACUGUAUUUUUAAUCCAUUGAAAGCCGAGCGUCAGAGUAGUGGAAUUCGGGCGCAGUGAAAUGUGUGUAGAGAGAUAACACCGAUGCGAAGGCAGCCUCCUGGGAUAACAUCACGCUCAUGCACUAAAGUGGAGCAACAGAUUAGAUACCUCUGGGUGUGAAUCACGCCCAGAAUGAUGCUCAAUUUGAUGUUGGGGCCUUUCGCCUUGCAGCGCAGCUAACGCGUGAAGUUGACCGCGCCUGUAGUACGGUCGUGCGAAUAAAACUCAAAGGAACGACGCGGGACCGCGCUGGCGCAGGGAUGUUGAUGUGAUUGGGCACCGAUGCAACGCGCGAAAACCUCAUCACCACUUGACAUGUGUCUGGAAUCCUGAAGAGAUUUCGGGAGUGCUCGCGGGUAAAGAGAAUCGGAACACAGGAAGCAAGCGGCUGGUCGUCAUCGUGUCGAUAAAGGGGUUAAGUCCCGCAACGAGCGCAACCUUUGCCACAGUUGCUACGAAAGCGGGCACUUCAGGACGAGAUCGCCAGUGACAAACUGGAGGAAGGUGGGGAUGACGUCAAGUCCUCAUGGCCCUUAUGGGUAGGGCUUCACACACGUCAUACAAUGGUCGUGACAGAGGGUCGCCAACCGCGAGGUGGCUUUCAAUCCCAGAAACCCGAUUCGAGUCCGGAUCGUGCCCGCAACCCGACUGCGUGAAGUCGGAAUCGCUAGCAAUCGCGAUCAGCAUGUCGCGGCAAUACGUUCCGGCCUUGUACACACCGCUCGUCAUGACCGCGGAGUGGGCUUUACCAGAAGUAGUUAGCCUAACCGUAGAGGCGAUUGCCUUACGCGGUAGGAUUCAUGACUGGGUAAGUCGUAAUAGCGGCAGCUCGAUGUACCGGAUGCUCCCAGGAGCAAUACGUAACUGAAAUCG
rnacentral:rRNA from 1 species